UCAAUUGAAUAAUUGCCCUUUACAGUUUCCUUACUUGAAGGAAAAACCUUUGCAGAUUCGAUAACGGGUGGUAAAAAUAGUUCCGGUUUUCCAUACCUGACGCAGCGCCUUAGAAGUUUACGACAUGGCCGGAGUCGUUCCCACACAGGACUCAUUUGGAACCUUAAAAGAUGGAACACCUGUCACGAGGUUUAAUUUUACCAAUCAAAAUAAUGUGACCAUUCGUGUAAUUAAUUUUGGAGCCACAAUAACUGAUAUUCUUCUUCCGGACAAAAACGGAAAAAUUGAAGACAUUAGUCUUGGUUUCGAUACAGCACGGGAUUACGAAUCCCAGC